GUAGCUAUGUACGGAAUGGAUAAGCGCUGAAAGCAUCUAAGCGCGAAGCCAACUUCAAGAUAAGAUUUCCCACCGCAAGGGUAAGACCCCAGAAAGACUAUCUGGUUGAUAGGUCGAAGGUGUAAGUGCAGCAAUGUAUUUAGCUUAUCGAUACUAAUAGGUCGAGGACUUGACCAAU
rnacentral:rRNA from 1 species